UAGCUGUCGAGGUUCGGAUCACACAUCUGAAAUUUCAGUUCUUACAUUACACCGGACGAGAAUUCUCGUUAAGUCAACCGGAAAUCUCUUCAAAGUUACUUAGACGCUCUGUGAAAUAACAGAAGUAACGUUUGAAACAAAGAGAUUGCCUGUUAACUCGACGAAAAUUCUUAUCCAGGAAUUAUUAAUCGGAAUUUUUAUUGAUCCAACACAAAAUUUUUCUCAAUGCAUCUGUAUCGAACUAAGUAUUUGUUGCAGUAUAGCGGAAAGCUCAAAUUCUUGAAAAUUCCGCGCAAAUGAAACAAAAAUCAAAUUCAUGCGGAAGUUUUUAAAGCAGAUUUGGAAGUUAAGGGUUUACCUUAGACUUUGUCACAGCACUAAUAUUUAUUUUUGCACCAAUUUUCAUGAAAAGCAACUCUUUCCCUCCAUCCUGCUGAAGUUUGCAACAAACCGAAUCAGAAAUGUUACAAUUUUCCUAAGACAAAAAUCCCCUUGAUUCGGUAAAUCGACUGAUCGUCUGAAGUUUCGUUCACUGUUUAUUUCAGGUUCAUCGAUGCAUCCUGGCAUGGUGGACUCUUCUCACAAUCAAAUGAAACACAACUGCCCAAAAUGUGGCCGCAACUACAAGUGGCCCAGCAGCCUGAGAUUCCACCUCGUCAACGAGUGUGGGAAAGAGCCACAGCAAAAAUGUCCCAUCUGCGCCUACAAAACUAAACAAAAAUCCAACCUAUCGAAACACAUUAAAUUAGUGCAUGGAGUUAUGAUUGGAUGAUCAAUCUUUAAUUCUCAUGUUGACGUCAGUCCAUCCUAACAAGAUGUACCGAUGCCCGAGGUGCGACCGCGGUUACAAACGGCGCGGAAGUAUGAAGUUCCAUUUCCUCCACGAGUGUGGCGUCGCGCCCAAAGAAAAGUGCAUGUUCUGUGAUUAUAUUACCAA